GGAACUCCUCUCUUAGUAAAAUGCUUUGCGUGCUUUACCAGCACUGAAAAGAAAAAUAGUUAUAAUUGUGGAAGGUGGUUUUAAUGGUGGCCAUCAAAAAUAUCUUGGAUGUAGAAGCCAUUGCAGACUUUGCUGAUGGUUGUCUAACUGUCCAUUGUGUGUAUAUAUAUAUAUGUAUAUACACAAACACAUGGAAAAAAGAAUCACAACAGUUAAGCUAUGCCAGCUGAGAUAUUUCACACUGGACAGCUGUAAAUGCGAGAACUAGAAAAGCAUUUGAUUGCAGCUUUUGCCUACCUGAGGAAAAAGAAUUUGAAAAGCUCUUAAGAGCCCAACAGGUGGAAUGUGGAGUUCUUCAGACAGGAAUAUACUCCCAGUGAAACUUCUGAAGAAUGAUUAUCUUCCCUCUCCUUUUGGGCCAAGCUGAGAGAAGAAAAGCAAGUAGGAUGCGGAUGUUUUUGUUUGUACAUGACCGCUGGAUGUAUCCAGUCUCUGAUGAAAUUCUUCUAGAGGAAAAAAAAAAGAGAGAGAGAGAAAUAAAAGGAGGCUUUUGCUCUGCAGUUAGAUCUCUCAUUUGUGGGCAUCUGCCUACACACUUCUGCCUAUUUGAAGCAGAUCAACCCAUGUGAGCGCUACUGUGAUCAGAAUGGUGCACUUACAUACAGCCUUGCUGAUUUUGGUGAAGCAAAGGGUCUCCAAAGCUGUGCAGCAGUCACCAUGUCUUCUGUGGCAAGCUGUCCACUGAUAAAGCAAAAGAGAGGAAGAGUCCAGCUACUUCCCCUUAAAAUUACACUGAAAGUUACACAGUGCCACCAGCAUGCAGAAUCCCUUUCCAUGAUACUGUGCUCUGAGUAAGUCAAAAGAAUGCAGGGGAAAGGCUGAAACAAUUCCACUUAGAAGGAGGUUACAAACAGGCUGAGUAUUGCAGCUGGCUGGAAGAAGUUUGUGUUCUGCAGGGCUAAGGUUUGACACCAAAGCAAGACCUGAUGCCACAGGGAUCAUCAGAAUCUAGUAAACAGAAAUAUCUAAGAAGAGCAGAUGCACAUUGUGUCUUCUAGGCAUCCUCUCAGUGGCAUGGUUGAAAUCCAGAUUCUGAUCACACAAGAUUCAGCCCAGAAGGGGAACUGCAUCCUGGGUUGCGUACCAGAAGGUCAAGGGAGGUGAUUCUGCUCCUCUACUCUGCUUUCAUGAGACUCCACCUGGACUACUGCGUCAAGUUCUGGAGCCUCCAAUGUAAGAAGGACAUUGAGCUGUUGGAGCAGGUCCAGAGGAGGGAUACAAAGAUGAUCAGAAGGCUGGAGCACCUCCCCUGCAAGAACAGGCUGAGAGAGCUGGGGGUCUUCAGCCUGGAGAAGAGAAGGCUCCAUGCAGACCUUUUAGCAGCCUUCCAGUACCUGAAAGGGGCUUACAGGAAAGCUGGGGAGGAACUGUUUAUAAGAACAGGUAGCAACAGAAAAAGAGGAAAUGGUUUGAAACUGGAAGAGGUUAGAUUUAUAAAUAGAUAUCAGGAAGAAAUUAUUUACUGUGAGGAUGGUGAGACACUGGAACAAGUUGCCCAGGAGGUUGUGAAUGCCCCCUCCCUGGAAGCAUUCAAGGCCAGGCUGGAUGGGGCUUUGAGCAACCUGGUCUAGUGGGAGGUAUCCAUGCCUAUAGCAGGUGGGUUGGAACUAGAUGAUCUUAAAGGUCCCUUCCAACCCAAACCAUUCUAUGAUUCCAUGAUUCUAACAAAGAAAGGAAUAUAUUUUCUUUCAUCAUCCUUCUUGCUCUUUUUUUCUCUUUUGAACUAGAUUCCCAAUGUAGGCCAGAGGAAACUUUAUUUAUAUCCCUGCAAUUCAAGGCCCACAAACCAAUUCAUCAUGUUCCUGUUUUAUCUCAUCUGCUGUAAAG
ensembl:lncRNA